rnacentral:rRNA from 1 species
UUCGCCCUUAGAGUUUGAUCCUGGCUCAGGAUGAACGCUAGCUACAGGCUUAACACAUGCAAGUCGAGGGGAAACGACAUCGAAAGCUUGCUUUUGAUGGGCGUCGACCGGCGCACGGGUGAGUAACGCGUAUCCAACCUGCCCACCACUUGGGGAUAACCUUGCGAAAGUAAGACUAAUACCCAAUGACGUCUCUAGAAGACAUCUGAAAGAGAUUAAAGAUUUAUCGGUGAUGGAUGGGGAUGCGUCUGAUUAGCUUGUUGGCGGGGUAACGGCCCACCAAGGCAACGAUCAGUAGGGGUUCUGAGAGGAAGGUCCCCCACAUUGGAACUGAGACACGGUCCAAACUCCUACGGGAGGCAGCAGUGAGGAAUAUUGGUCAAUGGACGAGAGUCUGAACCAGCCAAGUAGCGUGCAGGAUGACGGCCCUAUGGGUUGUAAACUGCUUUUAUAAGGGAAUAAAGUGAGUCUCGUGAGACUUUUUGCAUGUACCUUAUGAAUAAGGACCGGCUAAUUCCGUGCCAGCAGCCGCGGUAAUACGGAAGGUCCGGGCGUUAUCCGGAUUUAUUGGGUUUAAAGGGAGCGUAGGCCGGAGAUUAAGCGUGUUGUGAAAUGUAGACGCUCAACGUCUGCACUGCAGCGCGAACUGGUUUCCUUGAGUACGCACAAAGUGGGCGGAAUUCGUGGUGUAGCGGUGAAAUGCUUAGAUAUCACGAAGAACUCCGAUUGCGAAGGCAGCUCACUGGAGCGCAACUGACGCUGAAGCUCGAAAGUGCGGGUAUCGAACAGGAUUAGAUACCCUGGUAGUCCGCACGGUAAACGAUGGAUGCCCGCUGUUGGUCUGAAUAGGUCUGCGGCCAAGCGAAAGCAUUAAGCAUCCCACCUGGGGAGUACGCCGGCAACGGU